rnacentral:lncRNA from 1 species
UUAUUUUGAAUAUGAUGGCUUCAAUUCAUCAUAUGGGACCUAUGUUUUGUGAGCAAGUUAACUGAUUUUGAAUAUCACGAGUUUUAAUAAGGAAGUUCGUACAUGAUCACAACAGAAACCAUGUAUACCCUUCAAAAAGAAAAUCGAGUUUUUCAAGAAAUUCAUUGAUUCGAUAUUAAAGAAUCAACGCUUUGUAAAAACGCGGUUUACAAUGCAAAGAUCAAGUAUAGCGAAAUGAUAUUUGAAUUUUUUGAUAAAACAACAGAUUGGAAUGGAGCCUUCCUAUGGUCUUCGUAACUCAAAUGAACCACAUGCACAACAAACAGUGCAUGUGUACCGUGUGGAUUUUCCAAGAAAUGAAAUGAAUCGAUAUUUGCUACUAUGAAAGAAAUCUUUAUGGUAGAAACACGAAAGUCAACUUAUUUAUAGGCAGAAGUCAGAAUUGCAAUGAAAGAAAUAUAAGAACUUUAUCUGAAAUCUCGUGUGAUAACCUUUGUUAAGUGACAUUACCAAGGAAUGUCGAAUGAAAUGAAAUGAAAUAGGGGAUUUGCAAAGGUAGAUGACUUCUUUUGUAGUGCCAAUAAUUAUGACUAUAAUUAGACUGUGCAUCGAUGGUUGUGAAAUAUUGUUCCAACGUACCUCAGCGAUAUUUUGAUCGUUUGUAAGAUCAUGUGGCAAAGUGCCGAUUUUUGAUUAGGAGUUCUUUUACUGAUGGAAUUAGUAUUGGUAUUAUCGUGCUCAAAUUUAUAUUUUUCAAAGAUCUUGGUUUGGAAGUCGUGUGUGAUAACUUUGACGUCUGUGGAUAUAUAAUUUAAGUUUCAUGUGUUUUCUUGUGCACUAGCACAACUUUACCUGCUUCUUACUGGCGUUAAUAGUUUAUGGUAACGCAUUGUAUUAUUUUGUUGCACGAGUUACGAGGUAGAUGAUUAAACGAAAGAAUGUUUGACAUCGAAAUUAAAGAUAUAUGCGAGAGAUUCCUGAUAAAGAAAUCUAUAUACAUAUGCUUGUGCUUUAUUCUUAAUUGACUUUUUGGACUUCCUUAUAGAUAUACAUAUCUAUAUUAUAUAUUUCACAUGUUGUAAUAUACAUACCUUUCAUAGGGUUAAAUAUAUAUAAUAGAUUCAUAUUUCC